GCACAAGCGGUGGAGUAUGUGGUUUAAUCGAUGCAACGCGAAGAACCUUACCUGGUCUUGACAUCCCGGAGACCCUUAGGAAACUAGGGGGUGCUUCUAUCUGGAAGAAUCUGGAGACAGGUGCUGCAUGGCUGUCGUCAGCUCGUGUCGUGAGAUGUUGGGUUAAGUCCCGCAACGAGCGCAACCCUUGCCUUUAGUUGCCAGCAGUUCGGCUGGGCACUCUAAAGGGACUGCCGGUGUUAAACCGGAGGAAGGUGGGGAUGACGUCAAGUCCUCAUGGCCUUUAUGACCAGGGCUACACACGUACUACAAUGGCCGAUACAAAGGGCAGCGACACUGCGAGGUGAAGCCAAUCCCGUAAAAUCGGUCUCAGUCCGGAUUGGAGUCUGCAACUCGACUCCAUGAAGUUGGAAUCGCUAGUAAUCGUGGAUCAGCACUGCCACGGUGAAUACGUCCGGCCUU
rnacentral:rRNA from 1 species